CCUCCGCACAAACCACCCACAUGGACUUUUUCCAUGCGCUCCACUGCUGAGUCUCGACGAGACUUCGCAUAGAUGAAAGCUUUUCGUGCUGUCACCAAACGCGGAUCCAGAUUCACACCCAAAGACAACACCUAACUAGCAUAUCUAUAAAGGGUAGAGAAGACGAAGCUAACUAGUACCACCGCCAGUCAUCGGAAAAUACAGAGCCUGAGGCUGAGGGGAUCUGAGGGAAACGAGAGAGAAGAUAAAGUUUUUUUAAUUCCUCUCAUACAUACAUAUAUAUAUAUAAAUAUAUAUAUCUAUAUGAAAAAAAUUUAUGAUUGUAUUUUUUAUUUUAUUUUCACAAAAAAAUAGCCAUCAAAUAGAAAAAUGAUUAAAACUGUUAUUAAAUAAUGAUAUAUAUCUAUAUUUUAGGGUAAACUAAUCUAGAUUUGAGAUUUAGAAUUCAUGGGUGACGUUUUGAAGAUGAGAUUUUAAAUUUCAAAAAAUAAAUAUUAAAAAUUUUAAAAUAAAAAAAAGUUGUUUUGGUCUUUUCUUUUUUUCUCAGAACUAUUUUGGUGACAAUUUUUUUUAAAAAAAACUAUUUGAAAGAAUUUAUAUAUAUACAAUAGCAUUUAAUUAUGAGUAUCUAAAAAAUAUAAUCGAAAGCAUUAUCUUCUUAAAAAAAAUUGAGACAUUUCUAUUGGAGUUGCUCUCAGCAUAUAGUAGAUAACACAAAAAUUAUAGUAUUAUAUUUUAUUUAAAACAACAUAUAUUAUAACGUAAUUAGCUUACAUAGCCAUUUUUAAGUUUUGUCACUAAAAUAGCCCUAAAAAAAAGAAAAUGAUCAAAAUAACCUCUUUUUAUUUUGAAAAUUUUAGUUUUAAAUUUUUUUGAAAUUUGAAACCACACUUUCAAAACUUUACCCAUUAACUUUAUACAUUAAGUCAAGAUUAGCUAACUAUAAAAUAUAAAUAUAUAUUUACCAUUUAAUAAUACUUCUUCUUUUGGUCAUUUUAUUUCUUAAGGAUUAUUUUGUGAAAAUAAAUCAGAAGAGGAUACCUAAGAAAUUUCUCUAUAUUAUUCAACAAUCAAUAUACUAACAGUUUAAACCAACAUAUAACGUGCAGUGUGGUUCAACUUUAAAAACGUUGCAUUCACGAUCAAUAAGAAAUGGAAAUAUUUUUCCCGUUUCUUGACUGAACCACAAACCAAAUGUGAAAACAUCAAUCAGUUGAUCAAAUACGUAUUGUUUAAUCUACUAUAUUACAAAAUAAAUGUAGCCACGGUUUUAAUCAAACCCAAUCAGUUAAAUAUCUCUUUAUGAACUUGAAAAUUGGCUAUAACAUCAAAUGAAAAUGCAUUUUUUUUCAAAAAUUUAUUAACUAUAUCAAAAUAUGUAGCAACCAGUAUAACCACUCAUUGAUUUAUAAACUAAUUUACUUAUGAACAUAUUUAAAAUUACAAACAAAACUUAACAGCUAUAUCGUAAAAUUUUAGAGCUUCCACCGUUCCGUAAGCUAUUGUUUCAACGAGAUUAACAGCACCUUUUGUUGUUAGUUAUGUUUUCAUCUCCGAUUCUACUCACUUCAACCACACCCGCUGACUCCAUCAGCCGGUAUUACCUUUUUUGUCGCGGCACUCCUAAAUUGAUGUUUUAACAGAUCAAAUCAAAAUUGGUGGUACAUACUACUCUUCUCUAAAGCACAAAUAAGAAAAUGACAUAUUGAGAAGAAUAGGAUUCGAACCCAUGAUACAAUUUUCUUGUAUAUCAGUUUAGCAAAGCAACCUAUCGGCUGGUCGGCUUGUUGCAACCUUCUCAGGAAUGCCUGCUGAGAUCCCAAGUCUUCAAGUAGACCCUCUUGGCCACCCUUUCCUCGAAGAGAUAAAAGGGUCCUAUAGAGAAUGUGGUCAGAAAUCAAUUGAGAUCGUUAAUGGUCUUGCUCUCUUUACAUAUAGUUACUGUCGAUGUCAUCUACGCAGAUCUGAGCUUCCAUGACUUGGUGACCUCGGAAGCAUAACUCCCCCCCCCCUUUGCUUGUUGUCUCCCAAUGUGUCUCGACAACAACUUCAAAGCUUGUAGAGCCUUUUUGGGGAUUCAUUUCAUCUGAGAAUGGCAGAGUCUCCGUUGAGAGCCUCUUCCCUUAACUUCACACAUUUGCAAACAGUGGUAAUCCUUUGUUGUGGCUUAUUUCUCUAAUUUGUGCUUUUAGAGGUUGGAUAUUAGGAUUCUUUGAGGACAGAGCCGUGGUGUUCCCAUGAAGUCAUGAUGCUCGAGCUGAAUCCUUCUAUUGAAUUCACCUAUUUAUGAGGAGUCGUUUGGCUUCUCAGUUUGUCACCUUCCUUUUCAUGGUACAUGUCUAUUAUAUCUAGAAGGUUUGGAUGCCUAUCAUGCCCUUUGAAUAUCUCUUUUGUCAUCGGAAAAGGGAACUAAACUACCGAUUACACUUGACCAAAAUGGCCUUUCGUGUUUUCAAUCUAGCAUUGGAGUGAUAGGUGAGACCCUCCAUCAUCGCAGAUUGAGAGAACCUCUAGGUUUGGCAUAAGCAAAUUAUUUUUGCUCAGUGUUCUCUUCGAUCCGUUGGUCUUUAAGAGAUUAGGAAGACAUAUCUGGGAAUAAAUACAAUUGGUUGUUAGUUUCUUGUAGUUUUAAGGUUUGUAUGCUCAGAUUAACCUUAGCUGCUUUAUAGUCAAUUAGUUUUCUUAAAUCUUUAAUGUGGUCCUUUGAAUCGGAAUUGCUUUCGAGCGAAUCAAAUUACAAACUUUGAUUUGGCACAAAAACAAUCUUCAUUUUUCGACAUCUGUAAUGAAGCGUUCUAACAGCAAUUUGAUUAUUCUUAUAAUGAUAUUUACAUCUUUAGCAAAAAAAAAUUAUAAAUAUCAAAUGGUUAGUAGAAGUAUGUUUGAUUGGAAUUACUAGUUGGGCGUGCGUGAAAUCUCUUCUUAGUUAUAAAUCAUAUGGAAGAAUGAAUGGACAACUAAAACUAUAAAACUAAUAAUUUAAAAAAAAUGAUUGAAAUAUUGUAAGUUAGAUAGAUAUGUAAAAGGGCGAUUGAUUUAGUGUUUAAUAAUUAUUGUUCAUGGUUUAGUAUCUACAAGGCGGGAUUGAUUUUUCAAACUUUUACUAAAAAAUGUAAAGAUUUAUAAAUGAUUUACGAAGAUUAGUUCAGUUUCAUAAAUUUAAAAUAUUUAUAAAAAUAGUUAUCAUUUAGAAAUAAAUUUAAAAAAUAAUAUCAUAUUUAUGGUAAAAUAAGAUUUUCCAUAAUUCAAAUACAGUAUGUGGAACUAUCUACUGGCAGCUUGUAAAAUAAUCUAACGAGUGACUUACAAGAUUGCCUCCUUACAAAAGAAAGACAUGACUUUUCUCGGUAGCAUACGGUAAAUGGGUUCGUCGUAACUGAGUUUCCUACUCCUGCCUACAGUUUACAUCCCACAACACGUAUUAGUUUUUUUUUCUUUUUUGAAAAAAGGGCAACAUGUAUUAGCUUUUAACAAUGACUUACGUUAAAGACCCUCCAAACUUCUUUAAAUUUCAACGUACGCAAUAUUUUGUCCAAUUUAUAAGUGCGAAUAAAGGCUUCUCUAAUCUUAUAACCAUCAGUGAAAAAAGACUACACAAAGAAAUAAUGUUCUUUAUUUUUGUCUAAAAACAUGAUCUCAUAUUUGGCAAGACGUUUUUAAAAAUGAAUAAGUAUGUAGAAACUUUCACAUCAUAUGAUUUAUAGUGCAAUUGGAAUACACUUAAAAUUUUUAUUAAUUCUUAACUUUUUUACAUUCUUUAAAAUUUUCAUUAGUUAGAAUGAAAAAAUAGAAACAACAUUCAUUUUAAAAAUAAAAUAAAAUAUAAUAUAUUAAUUCAUCUCUAAAUUAAUGUUUCAGAACAAUAUCUCCACCAUCACACCAAAAAAUAAAGGGAAUUAAAUUACAGAUUUAACAGAAACAGAGAAUAACAACAAACUAAUCUGAACAAACAAAUGAAAGAAAUUUGAAGGUAAAAUGAUUAGGGAAACGAAGCACUUCCUCAGGUAGACAUCAUCAACGAGUAAACCGGACUCUGAGACUUCAUAAGAGAGGGUGUCUACGCCCAUCACAGAUCCGCCACCGUUGUCCACAAUCCGUUAUUCGCGGAAGUGUCCCCCGGCACCAAAACGUCAGACGCGUCGAAGAGGUUGUGUCUCAUAUUGUUCACAGAUCCGAACUACAACGAAUCUAUAUCAAUCUAUAUUACAUUUCAUUCUAUAUCAAUCUAUAUUAAUCCGAAAAGAAAACAGUUCUUUGAAAAAUCAUUCCACAUCAAAAAAUUUUGGGAUAAAUGAAAUGCUAAUUCUAUUUAAUAAGUUCUAGAAAUAAUUAUUCUUAUUGUUCCAUAAUUAUUUUUCCAGCCAUAAUGAUAUGAGCAGGUUUUAGUUGUGUCCUAACGUCUUUUGUGAGUUUGUGGUCCUUGGACAAAUAAUUGUUCGGAUGAGAGAACAACAAGGAAUUAGGCCCAUCGAUUAUUGUAUAGUUUACCAAAUAUUUUAAAAAUAUCAUUACACUCGAGAAUAACUAUAGCUGAUUAUAUAUAUACAUAUAUAUUUUUUUAUAUCAAAGCUGAUUAUGAAAGAAACAAAGCAAAAACUUGAUUUUUUUCUUUAAUUUCAAGAGGAAUUGGGUCUUACGAUCUUAAUUUUUCCUUCAUUCCCGAACCAGCUUUUGACAUUAAACCGAUAUGUUAAUCUACCCUUCCCACCUAUUGUGAACUAGGAGCACAAUACAUCAAUAUCUGCAUUUAAGCCAACCGAUCUACCAUAUUUGGUGGUAAACGAAUAAUAUAUUCUUUAUUAUUAUAAAAAAAAAUUUAAUUUUCAGGAAAACUACAAAACGAAUAAUAUAAUCUCUGUUAUCUAUUUUUCUCGCAUUUUAAAAUUUAUUUCAGGUCGAAGUUGAAAAUAUAUUUUAGUAGUGGAGAAGAAAAUAAUGAAUGUCCGAAAAUGAAAUCCAGCCGACAGCAUGAGGCUUUGCUGUUGCCGUAAUAAGAGGACAUGUGUACAAUACCUACCACGUGUUCGUAUCGAAUCCAUUUUCUCCAUCUCAUCUCAGCCAUCCAGUCUAGAUCAAACACCCGCAAAUUAAAUCAUAUGUCUCACAUUGGUUGCAUUCAUCUUUUUGUAAAUAAUCAAAGUUAAAGGAAAUCUUUUACGUUUAUAUCAUUAUUUAUGUUUAUCACUACUAAAAUAAUAUUUUAAAACAAAAUUUUUUUUCAUAUUUACCAUCACUAAAAAAAUAUUUUCAAAAAUAUCUUCUCACUAAAUAUUAAAAGACUCUUAUAUCUUUGUUUCUUUAUAUAAAAAAUAAAAAAAUAUUUUUUUUAUUUUCGAAUUAUAUUUUUUUCAAAUUCGAACUUUUCUAUAAUUUUUUUUUUGAAUUAUUUUUUCAAUUUUUUUUCAAAAAUCAAAAAUUAUUUUUGAAACUAUUUUUUAUAUUUUUAAGAAUUUAUUUAUAUGUUUAUUAGAAUCUUAAAUUUCAUAUUUCAAAAUACUUAUGCCACCCUCUCAACUUUACAUCUUAAAUCUAGAUUAACUAAUUUUAAGAUUAUAAAUGUUUUUUAUCCUCCAACUAAAAUAAAGAUAAAACUAGCUAAUAUAAACAUAAAAAGUGAUACUAUGACUGUGAUAUAUAUAUAUAAAAUAAAUAUUUCUUUAAAUAAAUAAAAAAUGUUUUUAAAUAUCUAUUUGAACGAGAAAACUUACAACCUUCUUUAUAAGUCUUUCACACGGAAGGUUAUAAUAGUAAAACUAAAUACAAGUUUUUUGUUUGGUCAUAAGAAGGUUGUUGUAAUUUCACUAGCUUUUAGAUUAUUUUGGCAUUUGAUUGAAUUUAGGAUACAUUUUUAUAUUCAAAAUCAAAUUUUAAGUCACUUUUAGCAAUUUUCCUUGAUUAAAGACUAUUUGAAUACCCUGAUUAAUAAAAAAUCCCAAAUUAAUAAAAAGAUUCCAAUGCAAGAUUAGUAUGAUAAAAUAAUUUAUUUUUAUAAAAAAAAA